AUGAAGAAAUUCAAAGGAAAGGUGAAGAGGGCAGCAGAUAGACCAAGGAAGAGUCGAAUCAGACCUUGCAGCGAAGGGGCUGGACUUGGAGCGAGGAAGCGUAAGUGCACAAGGUGUGGCGGGUCAGGUCAUUUCAAUAAGUAUUGUGAUAACACGGUAGAUCCAACAUUAGGAGGGAGUUUCGAUGAAGGCUUCGAUGAAAAUGUUGGUCAGCAGCUGGUUGCCACAGAUGAUGAAAAUGAUGAUCAACAACUAGUUGCAUCAGAUGAGGAUUUUGAGGAGGUUCCAAAUGAUGAUGGUCAACAGCCGUAG
rnacentral:rRNA from 1 species